rnacentral:rRNA from 1 species
AACGAACGCUGGCGGCAGGCCUAACACAUGCAAGUCGAGCGGACCCUUCGGGGUUAGCGGCGGACGGGUGAGUAACGCGUGGGAAUAUGCCCUUCUCUACGGAAUAGUCCUGGGAAACUGGGGGUAAUACCGUAUACGCCCUUUGGGGGAAAGAUUUAUCGGGGAAGGAUUAGCCCGCGUUGGAUUAGGUAGUUGGUGGGGUAAUGGCCUACCAAGCCGACGAUCCAUAGCUGGUUUGAGAGGAUGAUCAGCCACACUGGGACUGAGACACGGCCCAGACUCCUACGGGAGGCAGCAGUGGGGAAUCUUAGACAAUGGGGGCAACCCUGAUCUAGCCAUGCCGCGUGAGUGAUGAAGGCCUUAGGGUUGUAAAGCUCUUUCAGCUGGGAAGAAAUGACGGUACCAGCAGAAGAAGCCCCGGCUAACUCCGUG